rnacentral:rRNA from 1 species
UUGCAUCGAUGAAGAACGCAGCGAAAUGCGAUAAGUAAUGCGAAUUGCAGAAUUCCGUGAGUCAUCGAAUCUUUGAACGCACAUUGCGCCCUCUGGUAUUCCGGAGGGCAUGCCUGUCCGAGCGUCAUUAUCAACCCUCAAGCUCGGCUUGCUGUUGGAUCUCGCCGUGGUAUUACGGUGGAUCCCAAAGAUAAUGGCAGAGUCCGUGGGACCCUGGACGCAGCGAGCUUCUAGCACGCGUCCGGAUGGUGUUCGGGCUUGGUCUUAACCAACAAGUUCUUCUGGUUGACCUCGGAUCAGGUAGGGAUACCCGCUGAACUUAAGCAUAUCAAUAAGCGGAGGA